UGCUGGAGGUAUCAGAAGUGCGAAUGCUGACAUAAGUAACGAUAAAGCGGGUGAAAAGCCCGCUCGCCGGAAGACCAAGGGUUCCUGUCCAACGUUAAUCGGGGCAGGGUGAGUCGACCCCUAAGGCGAGGCCGAAAGGCGUAGUCGAUGGGAAACAGGUUAAUAUUCCUGUACUUGGUGUUACUGCGAAGGGGGGACGGAGAAGGCUAUGUUAGCCGGGCGACGGUUGUCCCGGUUUAAGCAUGUAGGCUGGUUGUCCAGGCAAAUCCGGAUAAUCAAGGCUGAGGUGUGAUGACGAGGCACUACGGUGCUGAAGUAACAAAUGCCCUGCUUCCAGGAAAAGCCUCUAAGCAUCAGGUAACAUCAAAUCGUACCCCAAACCGACACAGGUGGUCAGGUAGAGAAUACCAAGGCGCUUGAGAGAACUCGGGUGAAGGAACUAGGCAAAAUGGUGCCGUAACUUCGGGAGAAGGCACGCUGGUGUGUAGGUGAAGCCCCUGCGGGUGGAGCUGAGACCAGUCGAAGAUACCAGCUGGCUGCAACUGUUUAUUAAAAACACAGCACUGUGCAAACACGAAAGUGGACGUAUACGGUGUGACGCCU
rnacentral:rRNA from 1 species